rfam:Cajanus cajan chromosome 8, whole genome shotgun sequence.
AAUUCAUGAUUUGAACACUUUCUUAUAAGAGAUUUGAAUCGUUCCUAGGCCUCAUAGAAGGGUACAUCCAUCCCUUAGCGAAAGAUAGUAAUCUAUUAUUUAACAUU